ensembl:rRNA 5S_rRNA 5S ribosomal RNA
GUCUGCAGCCAUACUGCCCUGAAUGUACCUGAUGCUGUCUGAUCUCAGAAGCUAAGCAGGGUUGGGCCUGGUUAGUAUUUGGAUGGGAGACGAUUGGGGAAUACUGGGUUCUGUAGGCU